ensembl:lncRNA
CGGGCUGCGGUGAAAGAGGCGAGGCGUCGUUUGUGGGUCAGAGGCGAGAACCAUCUAUAACUCGUUUACUGCUGUUCUGCAAGUGCGGCCUCCCUAAAAUGACAAGCGGAAGUGAGGAUGUGGAGAAAUUGGAAUCCUUGUGCCCUAUUGGUGGGAAGGGCUGCAUCUGCAUCAUGCAGAAGUUCCCAAGCUAGGAGUUGGAUUGGAGCUGCAGCUGCCGGCCUACACACAGUCACAGUCAUGCCAGAUCGGAGCCACAUCUACGACCUACACACAGCUCACGGAAACAUAUGCUCUCUGAGACCUGGUCAAACAUCCACCAAGGACCAUUUUAUGCCAAGCCUUGUGUUACUUCUGGGUCCACAGAAGCAAAUAAGAUAUACUUCCUAUCUGUCCUCAGGCAGCUCCCAGCUUGGGCAGAGGAAGCAGUAAGUAAAUGGAUAAUUAAAACCUAGUGUGUAAGUGCUACGAGAGAGAGAAACGCACGAUGCUCUGGGAAUACAAAGGUUGGGGCAUCUAACCAGACCAGACUAGAGGGUCAAGGAAGACGUUUUGGAAGAGGUGACUUAAAAGUGAGUCUUUUUCUUCCAUUUUUGAAAAAAAAAAAAUCGUGCAGGUGAUAUAUGUGUUAGAAAUACAGAGAAGUGAAAGGAAACAACGGUUGAAAUCCUUCUGCCCAGAUGUAGCCCUUACUUAUACUUUGCUAUAAUGCCUUUUAAAUCUCAUUCUCUCUCUGAGACAUAUGUCUAUUUACACACACAUCAGACAGCCCUAACACACACACAAACAUGACACAAAAAUCCAGUGCAAUUCUGCUGUAAUAGCACUCUGUAAUUUGCUCUUCCUCAUUUAGUAUAUUUUAAAUCAGUAAAUAGAAACCUGUAAACACUCUU